rnacentral:rRNA from 1 species
UACGUAGGUGGCAAGCGUUAUCCGGAUUUAUAGGGCGUAAAGGGAACGCAGGCGGUCUUUUAAGUCUGAUGUGAAAGCCUUCGGCUUAACCGGAGUAGUGCAUUGGAAACUGGGAGACUUGAGUGCAGAAGAGGAGAGUGGAACUCCAUGUGUAGCGGUGAAAUGCGUAGAUAUAUGGAAGAACACCAGUGGCGAAAGCGGCUCUCUGGUCUGUAACUGACGCUGAGGUUCGAAAGCGUGGGUAGCAAACAGG